AGCGGCGGACGGGUGAGUAACGCGUGGGUAACCUGCCUCAUACAGGGGGAUAACAGUUAGAAAUGACUGCUAAUACCGCAUAAGCACACAGUACCGCAUGGUACGGUGUGAAAACUCCGGUGGUAUGAGAUGGACCCGCGUCUGAUUAGCUAGUUGGCGGGUACGGCCCACCAAGGCGACGAUCAGUAGCCGACCUGAGAGGGUGACCGGCCACAUUGGGACUGAGACACGGCCCAA
rnacentral:rRNA from 1 species